rnacentral:rRNA from 1 species
AUUGAACGCUGGCGGCAGGCCUAACACAUGCAAGUCGAACGGUAACAGAGAGUAGCUUGCUACUCUGCUGACGAGUGGCGGACGGGUGAGUAAUGUCUGGGGAUCUGCCUGAUGGAGGGGGAUAACUACUGGAAACGGUAGCUAAUACCGCAUAAUGUCGCAAGACCAAAGCGGGGGACUUUCGGGCCUCGCACCAUCGGAUGAACCCAGAUGGGAUUAGCUAGUAGGUAGGGUAAUGGCUUACCUAGGCGACGAUCCCUAGCUGGUCUGAGGGGAUGACCAGCCACACUGGAACUGCGAGACGGGCGGGACUCCUACGGGAGGCAGCAGUGGGGAAUAUUGCACAAUGGGCGACAGCCUGAUGCAGCCAUGCCGCGUGUAUGAAGAAGGCCUUCGGGUUGUAAAGUACUUUCAGUCAGGAGGAAGGGUGUGAAAUUAAUACUUUCAUGCAUUGACGUUACUGACAGAAGAAGCACCGGCUAACUCCGUGCCAGCAGCCGCGGUAA